UACCCACGCUGACUGGACCGUUCAAACAUAAGUAAGGCGGGAACAGUAUUGACUGGACUGUUCAACUGCAAGCAAGGAGGAACCAGCACUGAGUGGACAACAAGUCGGAGGACAGCCAGCUGAAGGACUGCUGGAAAGUGAGGAUAAAAAGGGGAGCCUUGCACCGCUCUCCAUCCUCUCGGGGAUCAUGGCCCAGUGCGUGCGAACCUCUGGAUCUCCUCGCACUUGGAGCUGAAGAGCCAGCUCGCUAGCCCCCUUGCUAAGUGACACAAGGUGACUAUGGGAUCAGAACUCCAGCCGAGAUGCCACCUCACCACCUUGCCUGAACCCCUUAUCAGCUUACUGUCAGACCUGACCACAAAGCCGGACCAGGCCUCUCAGCAGGGGACCUCUCCAACUUCUCGCCUGGCUGUCCACCUGGUAACUUUGAGCCUGCUGCCCAGAGUGACAGCCUGCCCAUGACGUCCUGCCUAUAGUAAAGAUGAUGGCUCAAUUAAUUGAGUCCCAGUCAACCACAUAUGACACCCAGAUGCAGCUUGGACUCCUGGCUUUGCCCUGGCCCAGCUCUGGCUACUGUGGACGUUUGGGGAGUGAACGAGUACAUGGAAGAUCUCUCUCCACCUGAAGCUCUUUCUUUCUCUCAUUGUCUCUCUGCCUUUCAAAUAAAAUGAAAAAAAAAUUGAUAACUUUCUUAAAUAUAAACUCUUGACUGCCAUUGGUUUUCAAGAUUACUUUCGGAUAUGUAUAUGAACUAAAUAUAUCCUUUGUAUCUAACUUUGUUAAAGGUGAUUUUGCAUCCAAAAUAAAUUUAUCUUUUGCAAAUAGUA